AGCAGCCGCGGUAAUUCCAGCUCCAAUAGCGUAUAUUAAAGUUGUUGCAGUUAAAAAGCUCGUAGUUGAAUUUCGGGAUCGACGGGCCGGUCGCGCCUCUGGUGUGUACUGGCCCUGUCGGUUUCUCCCUUCUGACGAACCACGAUGUCAUUAAUUUGGUGUCGUGGGAAAUCAGGACUGUUACUUUGAAAAAAUUAGAGUGUUUAAAGCAAGCAUUCGCUUGAAUACAUUAGCAUGGAAUAAUGAAAUAGGACGUUUGAUCUUAUUUUGUUGGUUUCUAAGAUCGACGUAAUGAUUAAUAGGGAUAGUUGGGGGCAUUAGUAUUCAAUUGUCAGAGGUGAAAUUCUUGGAUUUAUUGAAGACUAACUACUGCGAAAGCAUUUGCCAAGGAUGUUUUCAUUAAUCAAGAACGAAAGUUAGGGGAUCGAAGACGAUCAGAUACCGUCGUAG
rnacentral:rRNA from 1 species